GUGGGGAAUAUUGCGCAAUGGGGGAAACCCUGACGCAGCGACGCCGUGUGAGGGAAGAAGGCUUUCGGGUCGUAAACCUCUGUCAGAAAGGAAGAACCUCCCAUAUCCGAAUAGGGUGUGGGACUGACGGUACUUUCAAAGGAAGCACCGGCUAACUCCGUGCCAGCAGCCGCGGUAAUACGGAGGGUGCUAGCGUUAAUCGGAAUCACUGGGCGUAAAGCGCGCGUAGGCCGCUUCUUAAGUCGGACGUGAAAGCCCUCGGCUCAACCGGGGAACUGCGUUCGAUACUGCGAGGCUUGAGUCCUGGAGAGGGUGGCGGAAUUCCGGGUGUAGGAGUGAAAUCCGUAGAUAUCCGGAGGAACACCGGUGGCGAAGGCGGCCACCUGGACAGGUACUGACGCUGAGGCGCGAAAGCGUGGGGAGCAAACAGGAUUAGAAACCCGUGUAGUCC
rnacentral:rRNA from 1 species